rnacentral:lncRNA from 1 species
UUGCAUUAUGCAAAAAGGUCAAAGGCUUACAUUAGUACAAGCAUACAACAGGGCUCAAACAGAUAGAAACAAAAGCAAACCCCAACCCUAGUAACCAACACAUGACCCAGAUCCAAAUCGGUGGGAAAAUCCUACUGACGAAGAUCUCUUCCUUUUAACCACUGACCGUCGGGAGAAGAUAACACAGGUGACACACCGAUUCUCCAUCAACUGAAGUUAAAAAGCCAUAACAAACAUAUUGAAGCUCAAAGGAGAGGGAGGUGUCAUGCAAACCAGCAAGACCUAGCCUGAAGCAUAUUUGGUUGCAAUAAAGCCCUUGUCAUCUCUUUUUUGAAAC